rnacentral:rRNA from 1 species
AUUGAACGCUGGCGGCAUGCCUUACACAUGCAAGUCGAACGGCAGCACGGGGCAACCUGGUGGCGAGUGGCGAACGGGUGAGUAAUGCAUCGGAACGUACCUUUCAGUGGGGGAUAACGUAGCGAAAGUUACGCUAAUACCGCAUAUUCUGUGAGCAGGAAAGCAGGGGAUCGCAAGACCUUGCGCUGAUUGAGCGGCCGAUGUCAGAUUAGCUAGUUGGUGAGGUAAAGGCUCACCAAGGCGACGAUCUGUAGCGGGUCUGAGAGGAUGAUCCGACACAAUGGAACGGAGACACGGUCCAGGCUCCUACGGGAGGCAGCAGUGGGGAAUUGUGGACAAUGGGGGCAACCCUGAUCCAGCCAUGCCGCGUGAGUGAAGAAGGCCUUCGGGUUGUAAAGCUCUUUCGGCCGGGAAGAAAUCGCACGGGCUAAUACCCUGUGUGGAUGACGGUACCGGAAUAAGAAGCCCCGGCUAACUUCGUGCCAGCCGCCGCAGUAAAAC